rnacentral:tRNA from 1 species
GUCGUUGUAGUAUAGUGUGAGUAUCCCCCGCCUGUCACGCGGGAGACCCGGGUUCGAUCCCCGGCAACGGCG